CUUAUGACCUCCAAGUAUUGCGAUAACAAAGCGCACACACGGCUUGUAUAUCACGGGUCCGUUACUGGGUUACUUUGUUUCUUGGUUACUAAAGUUACUUGCACAUGCACUCGAGGAAACGCAUCAAACGCUGUAAAUUCUGGAGCAAGAACAGUGCAACUGCGCCGUGUAUUGGUGAAUCGGACAAAAUGUGGGCAUUAAUUGAAUGGACAGAAAUGGACGCGUCUCUGGACACUGUAAGGAGAAAAGACAUUCUUCAAUCUGUAGUUCACAAGGGGGAUGUUGUUGAUGUCAAAUAUGAAGAUGAAAGCUCUCCUGCUCUUAUUCUCAAGCUGAAUGAAAAUAAGCACAAGCUACUGAAACGUCUAAAUCAGAUGGAGUCAGAGAGAUGGCAAAAGAGGAGUGCAAGCCACCUGAAAGAGAGCAAUAAAAAGGAAAAUAAUAUUUAGUCCAGAAAACAACCCACCAUCAAGUCCAGAAGAGAUUUAGUUAAGUAUAACUUCCUGAUAAAUCAUAUUAACAUUGUUUAAGAGACUACACCUGUGUUUUUGCUGUUCUGUGACUUUAAUUUAGUCUCUCAACUUAGGUUGAAAAAACAUAAAAUGACACGCUGUUGCUUAAAAAAAUAGAAGAAAAAACAAAGAAAAUGACACAAUACCUGUAAAUGACAUGAGAAAAGAAAUCAAAGCCUUGAGAGCAGAGAAUCAGCAACUAAAGGCCCUGAACUUUAAACUGCAAAAUGAUAUUAUUAACAGAAUUGCGGAGUUGCUGCGAGACAGCAGUGUAAACAAGCAUGCUGUGCCAACCUCCCUAACAAGUUCAGUUUGCUGUGCUAACCUUCAACCAGAUAACUCUUCACAUAGUUCUUCUGAACUGGACCAUGUUGAAAUCCACAGAAAAUGAAACAAGGAUACAUUCCAAGUGUGGUGGUAGAGGGGGCACAUCAUGGUCAGCCAUGAUCAAGGAUUUAGCCGUGGCUGUUCUUGGAAGGAGCAUGUUAGCUACCCGUAGCCUUUCUGCAAAAUUUUGAAAUGCCAACAAAGAAUCACAAGCCAAGCCUCCUUUGGACCCACACAAGUGGAACUUAUUAUAGACACUGUUCAGAAGAAAUUUCCAGCAACUCCCCAAAAGCUUCUUCGGGCUGCUUUACGGGAAAAAAAAUAAUGAUGAACAUAAACUU